rnacentral:rRNA from 1 species
CGCAUUUCCAACAACUAACAACUCAGAAUGCUGGGCAAUAGGACGUUUAAAGUGGCUCCUUACACCUUACAAAGGAAUGGCUGAUGAGAAACAACUCGAUCCGCUCAGCGUUCUAUUGGAAUGCAACGGACGUGAUUGCAAGCUUUUGUUUUGAGUUGCGGUUUUGCUGAAAGACUCUACAAUCCGCAAACUUCAAUGAUCUGAAGUAGAAAACCUACAUGCUACAGUGAGAUAUUGUGGAUAAACUUAAGCGACCGCUCCAACAUUGUGUUUUUUUAAAACUGAUGAAGGUUGCGGCAAUAACAGGUCUGUGAUGCCCUUCGAUGUCCUGGGCUGCACACGUGCUACAAUGGCUAGCGCAGUGAGCAUAUUUCAACCGAAACAUCGGUUGGCUGUUCUGAUUGACCCCUUCUGGGUCUCUCUGUAACACUACCGAUGAUCCCUCCUCUGAAAAGAGAGGGUAAGCCGUUCGAAAUUCUGGUAACGAUUCCCCGUAGUUAAGCAAACUUAAACCAUAGUGGUGUCAAACGGGUCCGCUUCCAUCGGAAAAGAUUCCUCCGGAAAAAGGCUUAUGCAGGCAUUUCACGUAUGCUCCUAUAAAUUCCUGGUAGGGAUAGUCUAUUGUAACUGGUAGACUUGUCAACUAGGAAUGCCUUGUACGGG